rfam:Paramecium tetraurelia chromosome undetermined scaffold_59, whole genome shotgun sequence.
GGCCGUCUGGCUCAAUUGGUAGAGCACCAGAUUUCGGGUCUGGGGGUUUAGGGUUCAAGUCCCUAGGUGGUCG